rnacentral:rRNA from 1 species
UGGGGAAUCUUGCACAAUGGGGGCAACCCUGAUGCAGCGACGCCGCGUGAGCGAUGAAGCCCUUCGGGGCGUAAAGCUCUUUCGACCGGAACGAUAAUGACGGUACCGGGAGAAGAAGCUGCGGCUAACUACGUGCCAGCAGCCGCGGUAAUACGUAGGCAGCAAGCGUUGUUCGGAGUUACUGGGCGUAAAGAGUGCGUAGGCGGUUUUCUAAGUUCGGUGUGAAAUCUCCCGGCUUAACUGGGAGGGUGCGCCGAAGACUGGGAAGCUGGAGUGUGGGAAAGGCAGGCGGAAUUCCUGGUGUAGCGGUGAAAUGCGUAGAUAUCAGGAGGAACACCGGCGGUGUAGACGGCUUGCUAGACUAUAACUGACGCUGAGGCACGAAAGCGUGGGUAGCAAACA